GACGAUUUGGCCGAGCGGUUAAGGCGCCAGCUUCAGGUGCUGGUCACGAAAGUGGCGUGGGUUCAAAUCCCACAGUCGUCA
rfam:Hypsibius dujardini strain Z151 scaffold0174, whole genome shotgun sequence.